rnacentral:rRNA from 1 species
GACGAACGCUGGCGGCGUGCCUAAUACAUGCAAGUCGAGCGAUGAAGAUUUGUGCUCGCGCCCAUUUGAAGAGCAGCGAACGGGUGAGUAACGCGUGGGGAAUCUGCCUUUGAGCGGGGGACAACAUCUGGAAACGACUGCUAAUACCGCAUAACAACUUUAACCAUAAGAUUUAAGUUUGAAUGAUGCAAUUGCAUCACUCAAAGAUGAUCCCGCGUUGUAUUAGCUAGUUGGUGAGGUAAAGGCCCAACAAGGCGGUGGUACAUAGCCGGCCUGAGAGGGAGGUCGACCCAAACGGGAAUGGGGACACGCCCAAGCUUCCUCCGGGAGCCGCAAGAGGGGAACUUUGGCCAAUGACGGAAGUCUGACCGAACAAAGCCGGGUGAGGGAAGAAGGGUUUUGGAUCGGAAAACUCUGUUGGUAGGGAAGAAAGUUGGGGAGGGUGGAAAGCUCAUGAAGUGACGGUAACUACACAGAAAGCGACGGCUAACUACGUG